ACUUGCAACCAUGCUUGCUUUGCCCUGCCCAGAACCUCUUCUUCUCGGCGGUCUGAAUCAGAGAGGCGAGAGGAAGCCGACAAUUUUGCCGACAUUAUGGAAAAGGUGACACCCUCUAAUUUCUCCGUAUACGGCUUCUGUUCUUUCCCCAAGCAGACAUGGAACCUGGGAGACGGAGAUUGCCGGAGAAGAAACAAGGGGACCGAAAUUCAAGGAAACCCUAAUUCAAAAAAUUUCAGAGAUGACGUUAUAAAUUCUGAUCCUCCUUUUCGGUUUUGGUGCUGUCGUCGCACGGAGGCGGUCGAAGCUGUGGCAGUUUUGUUGAUAAGGCAAGUGCAGCAGUCCCCUACAUAGUACCAAAUCAAAUGAUUUAACCAUGAUAUACCAGCGUCUGAAUGGAGGCAGAGACUAGAAUGGUGUAGUAUCUGCCAAGGAAAGAAUCUGCGAGAAAGCCUCCAAGCAAACAGAGG